UCGUUAGCUCAGUUGGUAGAGCAGUUGACUUUUAAUCAAUUGGUCGCAGGUUCGAAUCCUG
rnacentral:tRNA from 1 species